GAGCAUGAUUAUAUAAGAGGACACUGGGACUAUUGUCCCAAAAGUUGCUUUAGAUGUGGCCAAUCCAAUUUUAUGAAAACGUCUUGUGGUGGUACAAAUAUUAAUUACACCAGAGAAUCAAAGC
rnacentral:lncRNA from 1 species